AGAGAGAGAGAGAGAGAGUAGCAAAGAGGCUUGAAACAAAAUAAUUUUGUUUCUCAAUUUCUAUCUCCAUGUUGCCAUCAAGUAGGUUUAGCGGUGUUGAAAUUUUCAUCAGUUUCAAAUGAGUUUGGUUUAGCCAAAUCAUGUGGAUAUGAUACUUUGGUUCUGGCCUUAUGAUUUCAUAGUUUUCUAUACUUAGAUCAUGAUGGACUUUUGUGCUCUUUUCUUAUGAUGAACAAAUUUUAUUGUGCCUGGGUAGGACAGUUUUACAUCUUGGAUUGUAGUUGGAUUUGACUAAUUAUUGUGCUUAACUAUAAGCCCCUGUGCUCCACAAAUAGAAGCUGUUGGUUAUGUGAGUUAAGAAAUGUUUGAAUCUCGAGUUUCUUGAGAACCUGCCAGUUGUAUAAUACUUAUCUGGCUUUAGUAGUGAACUUCAUCAGGUUUUCUUUUCUUUCUUUUUUUUU
rnacentral:misc_RNA from 1 species